rnacentral:rRNA from 1 species
GAUGAACGCUGGCGGCGUGCCUAAUACAUGCAAGUCGAGCGAGCGGCGGACGGGUGAGUAAUGUCUGGGAAACUGCCUGAUGGAGGGGGAUAACUCCUGGAAACGGUAGCUAAUACCGCAUACCAUCAGAUGUGCCCAGAUGGGAUUAGCUAGUCGGUGGGGUAACGGCUCACCUAGGCGACGAUCCCUAGCUGGUCUGUGAGGAUGACCAGCCACACUGUAACUGAGACACGGUCCAGACUCCUACGGGAGGCAGCAGUGGGGAAUAUGGGACAAUGGGCGCAAGCCUGAGGCAGCCAUGCCGCGUGUAUGAAGAAGGCCUUCGGGUUGUAAAGUACUGUCAGCGGGGAGGCGGUACCCGCAGAAGAAGCACCGGCUAACUCCGUGCCAGCAGCCGCGGUAAUAC